AUACCUUUCUCGGCCUUUUGGCUAAGAUCAAGUGUAGUAUCUGUUCUUAUCAGUUUAAUAUCUGAUAUGUGAGGUAUAUCCUCACAAUGAUAUUAAAUUUAUUUUUUUGUGGGGAGGGUCCGCCACAGUGGCUUGCCACUGGGGCCCUUAGGUGUUGCCUAGGCGUUGCACUACAGCCUGCCACUACAGCCCUG